rnacentral:rRNA from 1 species
AUGGCCGGCGCGGCGCCUCACGUCAUGGUGCUGCCGUUCCCGGCGCAGGGCCACGUCACCCCGCUCAUGGAGCUGUCGCACCGCCUCGUCGACCACGGCCUCCGGGUCACCUUCGUCUGCACCGAGCCCAUCCACAAGCUCGUUCUCGAUGCUCUUCGGCGGAACGCCGACGACGGCGAGGCGCUGGACGGGAUCCGCCUGGUCUCCGUACCGGACGGCCUGGCCGACGGCGACGACCGGAGGGACCUGUGCAAGUUUCUCGAUGGGCUCUCGCGGUGCAUACCAGGCUAUGUGGAGCAGCUCAUCAGGGAGACCAAGGUGAGGUGGCUCGUCGGCGACGCCAACAUGGGGCUGUGCUUCGAGGUUGCCAAGAAGCUCGGCGUCCGGGUCGCCUGCGUCUUCCCGGCGUCCGCGGCGGGCCUUGGCACGUUGCUCCGGCUUCCCCAGCUGAUAGAGGACGGCUUCUUCGACGACAAGGGCUUCCCGAAACGACGAGGCGCGUUCGAGAUCGCCCCCAACAUGCCGCCGAUGUACACCUCGCACAUGCCGUGGAGCAUCGACGGCGCCUUAGAGGGGCAGGAGGUAUCCUUCCGGCUGGUGUCCCGGAACACCCAGGCGACCAGCCUAGCCGAGAUCAUCGUGUGCAACUCGUUCCACGACGCCGAGACCGCGGCGUUCGAGCUGUUCCCCGACAUAGUGCCCAUCGGCCCGUUGUUCGCCGACCAGGAGUUCCGGAAGCCUGUCGGGCAGUUCUUGCCGGAGGACACGGGGUGCCUGAAGUGGCUCGACGCCCACCCCGACGGCUCCGUUGUGUACGUGGCGUUCGGCAGCUUCACCGUCUUUGACCCGCGGCAGUUCCGUGAGCUCGCCAAGGGGCUGGAGCUCACCGGCCGGCCGUUCUUGUGGGUGGUGCGCCCGGACUUCACGACCGGCGGCCUGAGCAAGGCGUGGUUCGAUGAGUUCACGAACCGAGCCGCUGUCAACGGCAGGGGCAUGAUCGUUAGCUGGUGUCCCCAGCAGCAGGUCCUCGCACACCGCGCGGUGGCGUGCUUUGUGUCGCACUGCGGUUGGAACUCGACCAUGGAGGGGGUCAGAAAUGGCGUGCCCAUCCUGUGCUGGCCGUACUUCGUCGACCAGUUCGCGAACCGGAGCUACAUCUGCGAUAUCUGGAGGACCGGACUGGCCGUGACGCCCGGUGAAGAUGGCGUCGUGACGAAGGAGGAGGUGAUCGCCAAAUUGGGAUUGGUUAUCGGUGACGAGGGAAUUGCAGAGAGGGCAGAUAUGCUCAGGGAUGCAGCUCGCAAGUGCCUCAGCGAGGGCGGCUCCUCGUAUGAGAAUUUCAAAAGAUUUGUCGAUCUUCUAAGCGAAUGA